rnacentral:rRNA from 1 species
CGAACGUUGGCGGCGUGGAUUAGGCAUGCAAGUCGAGCGAGAAGCUUUCCUUCGGGAAAGUGGACAGCGGCGAAAGGGUGAGUAAUGCGUAAUUAACCUGCCCCCGAGACCGGGAUAGCUUUUGGAAACGAAAGGUAAUACCGGAUAGUCCAAUCUGAUGGCAUCAUUGGAUUGGUAAACGGUGGGGAUCUUCGGACCUUCUGCUUGGGGAGGGGAUUACGUCCUAUUAGUUAGUUGGUGGGGUCACGGCCUACCAAGGCAUUGAUGGGUAGCUGGUCUGAGAGGAUGGUCAGCCACACUGGGACUGAGACACUGCCCAGACUCCUACGGGAGGCUGCAGUCGAGAAUCUUCCGCAAUGGACGAAAGUCUGACGGAGCGACGCCGCGUGGAGGAUCGAAGGCCUUCGGGUUGUAAACUCCUUUCAAGCAGUGAGGAAAAUCUGUAUGAAAAUAUUGUGCAGACUGACUUUAGCUGCAGAAGAAGCUCCGGCUAACCCU